rnacentral:rRNA from 1 species
UACAGAGGUCCCGAGCGUUGUUCGGAUUCACUGGGCGUAAAGGGUGCGUAGGUGGCGAGGUAAGUCGGAUGUGAAAGCUCGGAGCUCAACUCCGAAAUGGCAUUGGAAACUACCUUGCUCGAGGGUUGGAGGGGGGACUGGAAUACUUGGUGUAGCAGUGAAAUGCGUAGAUAUCAAGUGGAACACCAGUGGCGAAGGCGAGUCCCUGGACAACUACUGACACUGAGGCACGAAAGCUAGGGGAGCAAACAGG